GACAGAGGGGGCAAGCGUUGCUCGGAAUUACUGGGCGUAAAGGGCGCGUAGGCGGGAUGGCAAGUCGGUCGUGAAAUCCCUCGGCUCAACCGAGGAACGUCGAUCGAUACUGCUGUUCUUGAGGAUUGCAGAGGAGACUGGAAUUCCCGGUGUAGCGGUGAAAUGUGUAGAGAUCGGGAGGAACACCGGUGGCGAAAGCGACUCUCUGGACGGCAACUGACGCUGAGGCACGAAAGCGUGGGGAGCAAACAGG
rnacentral:rRNA from 1 species